UCUGUCUGUCUCAGUACAGGAAGGAAACAUGUUUUAUACACACAGCUAGGUAUGCUGUGUCUGUCUGUCUCCAUACAGGAAGGAAACAUGUUUUAUACACACUGCUAGGUAUGCUAUGUCUGUCUGUCUCAGUACAGGAAGGAAACAUGUUUUAUACACACAGCUAGGUAUGCUGUGUCUGUCUGUCUCCGUACAGGAAGGAAACAUGUUUUAUACACACAGCUAGGUAUGCUAUGUCUGUCUGUCUCAGUACAGGAAGGAAACAUGUUUUAUACACACAGCUAGGUAUGCUGUGUCUGUCUGUCUCCGUACAGGAAGGAAACAUGUUUUAUACACACAGUUUUUUGACAGUUUAAAUUCCAUAAAGGUUUGGGUCUUUUUGUUUUCUCACCCCUUUCCUGCUGUCCCAUCAGUCCUCUGGUGGUGUUGGUGAUCCUACAGAGAGGAAUGUCUAUACACUGCUCUCUGUUUCUAUUGCUGUUUUCCUCUCCAACAUAAUAGGGGUCCCAUUUGAGUGUGGCACGUCCUUUACAAUGCCACACACACACACACACACACACACACACACACACACACCUCAGGAGGGCUUGGGAACACCAGUGGAACACCAUACAGCUUUGUAAAGGUUACUAUAUUGGUUCUACUGUUGUAU